UGCCAGCAGCCGCGGUAACACGGGGGGCGCAAGCGUUAUUCGGAAUUAUUGGGCGUAAAGCGCGCGUAGGCGGUUUGUUAAGUGAGAUGUGAAAGCCCAGGGCUCAACCUUGGAACUGCAUCUCAUACUGGCAGGCUAGAGUACAAGAGAGGGGGGUAGAAUUCCACGUGUAGCGGUGAAAUGCGUAGAGAUGUGGAGGAAUACCAGUGGCGAAGGCGGCCCCCUGGCUUGAUACUGACGCUGAGGUACGAAAGUGUGGGGAGCAAACAGGAUUAGAUA
rnacentral:rRNA from 1 species